rnacentral:misc_RNA from 1 species
GAAAUGCGAUAAGUAAUGUGAAUUGCAGAAUUCAGUGAAUCAUCGAAUCUUUGAACGCACCUUGCGCUCCUUGGUAUUCCUUGGAGCAUGCCUGUUUGAGUAUCAUGAAAUCUUCAAAGUAAAUCUUUUGUUAACUCAAUUGGUUUCUACUUUGGUAUUGGAGGUCUUUGCAGCUUCACACCUGCUCCUCUUUGUUCAUUAGCUGGAUCUCAGUGCUAUGCUUGGUUCCACUCGGCGUGAUAAGUUAUCUAUCGCUGAGGACACUGUAAAAGGUGGCCAAGAUAAAUGCAGAUGAACCGCUUCUAAUAGUCCAUUGACUUGGACAAUACUUUUAUGAUCUGAUCUCAAAUCAGGUAGGACUACCCGCUGAACUUAAGC